UACGAGGGGGCAGACGCGUUGUUCGGAAUUAUUGGGCGUAAAGGGUGCGUAGGCGGUUUGGUAAGUCUUGUGUGAAAUCUCCAGGCUCAACUUGGAGUCUGCACGAGAAACUGCCGGGCUUGAGUGUGGGAGAGGUGAGUGGAAUUCCUGGUGUAGCGGUGAAAUGCGUAGAUAUCAGGAGGAACACCUGUGGCGAAAGCGGCUCACUGGACCAACAACUGACGCUGAUGCACGAAAGCUAGGGGAGCAAACAGG
rnacentral:rRNA from 1 species